CCUUUUUAUCGGAUGGCCGCUCCUGGUUUUCCAGGGGAGGAAAGUCCGAACAUCCAUCCGCCGAUGAGGCGGAAAAGGUAGCGGGUAACGCCCGUCCGCGGUGACGCGAGAGGUGAGAACAGUGACGUCCGAGGCGAAAGCCAGAGACAUCCUUCGGGAUGAAUCCCGCCGGAAGGCGGGGGUGCAACGGCAAAACCCUUACCCGGAUGCAAGGCCGUGCUCCGGCUUCGGCCGGAGAGCGCCGCUUGAGGCGAUCGGCGACGAUCGUCCCAGACAGAUGGCCGUCCGGCACGAGCGAUCGUGCCGACAGAAUUCGGCUUACAGAUAGGAAGGUAAU
rnacentral:RNase_P_RNA from 1 species